AGAGUUUGAUCCUGGCUCAGAUUGAACGCUGGCGGCAUGCCUUACACAUGCAAGUCGAACGGUAACAGCACUUCGGUGGCUGACGAGUGGCGAACGGGUGAGUAAUACAUCGGAACGUGCCCGAGAGUGGGGGAUAACGCAGCGAAAGCUGUGCUAAUACCGCAUACGAUCUACGGAUGAAAGCAGGGGACCGCAAGGCCUUGCGCUCACGGAGCGGCCGAUGGCAGAUUAGGUAGUUGGUGGGAUAAAAGCUUACCAAGCCGACGAUCUGUAGCUGGUCUGAGAGGACGACCAGCCACACUGGGACUGAGACACGGCCCAGACUCCUACGGGAGGCAGCAGUGGGGAAUUUUGGACAAUGGGCGAAAGCCUGAUCCAGCCAUGCCGCGUGCAGGAUGAAGG
rnacentral:rRNA from 1 species